rnacentral:lncRNA from 1 species
AACCUUUUUGCGAUUUUUUUUUUUAAAGACACUUAGGAAUACAUUAGCUUUCGCAUUGGCACUGACAAAUGGCUACUUCUAGAAAGACUGAAAAGGCUUUCCUAGAAUAAUAAUUACAUCUUGUAUACUAUUUAUUUUCAUAAUUUUGUGGUGAUAUUUUCCUGAAAAUUCACCUUCUAUUAUUCUUUUUUUUUUUAAGCCACUUCUGAAUUAGAGGAUGGAGGAAAACAAAAGCUUAUACUCAACAAGAGGGAUUGAAAGAAGCAAGAAAUAAUCUCAGAGAAAAAAACAGCAACAUUUUUAAAUGGCUUUAUAUUCCCUUCAACACUGAAUCUGGAGACUAAUAACUAAUAUGGUAAGGAAUAUGGUUACUUGGGCAUCACAUUUCCUUAUCUUCAAAGUGAAGGUUCUGGAUUAGAUUAAGGAUAUCAAAU